UCAAACUUGGUCAUUUAGAGGAAGUAAAAGUCGUAACAAGGUUUCCGUAGGUGAACCUGCGGAAGGAUCAUUAUUGAAUAUCUUGCCUUGAUAGGUUGUCGCUGGUCUCUUGGGGCAUGUGCACACCUGUCUUGACUUUAUUCAUCCACCUGUGCAUCUAUUGUAGUUCUCUGCUUUUGGUAGGUCAAGGAAAGCAGGCUUGUAUUCAGUUGAGCUUAUACUGGUUUUGAGGAUUGCCUUUUUUGGCUUUCUUCUGUAUUGGCCUUGUGAAAUUGUACCUGCUAAGAUGCAAGGGACUAUGUUUAUUAUCAUAAACCAAUGUAGUAUGUUGUCAGAAUGUAUUGAAUAGGUCCUUGUACCUAUAAAUAAUACUAUACAACUUUCAGCAACGGAUCUCUUGGCUCUCGCAUCGAUGAAGAACGCAGC
rnacentral:misc_RNA from 1 species